CCUACGGGGGGCUGCAGUGGGGAAUAUUGCACAAUGGGGGGAACCCUGAUGCAGCGACGCCGCGUGAGUGAAGAAGUAUUUCGGUAUGUAAAGCUCUAUCAGCAGGGAAGAAAAUGACGGUACCUGACUAAGAAGCCCCGGCUAACUACGUGCCAGCAGCCGCGGGAAUACGUAGGGGGCAAGCGUUAUCCGGAUUUACUGGGUGUAAAGGGAGCGUAGACGGCUGUGCAAGUCUGUAGUGAAAGGCCGCGGCCCAACCCCCGGACUGCUCUGGAAACUGUAAAGCUGGAGUGCAGGAGAGGUAAGCGGAAUUCGUAGUGUAGCGGUGAAAUGCGUAGAUAUUAGGAGGAACACCAGUGGCGAAGGCGGCUUACUGGACUGCAACUGACGUUGAGGCUCGAAAGCGUGGGGAGCAAACAGGAUUAGAUACCCUGGUAGUC
rnacentral:rRNA from 1 species